rnacentral:rRNA from 1 species
UACGUAGGGACCAAGCGUUGUCCGGAAUCAUUGGGCGUAAAGAGCGUGUAGGCGGCUUGUUAAGUCUUGCGUGAAAUCUCGGGGCUCAACCCCGAGCGGUCGUGAGAAACUGGCAGGCUAGAGUGCGGGAGAGGAGAGUGGAAUUCCUGGUGUAGCGGUGAAAUGCGUAGAGAUCAGGAAGAACAUCGGUGGCGAAGGCGCUCUGCUGGACCAUAACUGACACUCAGGGACGAAAGCUAGGGGAGCGAAUGGG